rnacentral:rRNA from 1 species
GAUGAACGCUGGCUGUGUGCCUAAUACAUGCAUGUCGAACGAAGCACUUGUGCUUAGUGGCGAAUGGGUGAGUAACACGUACUUAACCUACCUCAUAGUUUGGGACAACAUUUGGAAACGAAUGCUAAUACCGAAUACGCUGCCGGGUGGCAUCACCUGGUAAUGAAAGGUCCGUUUGGACCGCUACGAGAUGGGAGUGCGUUACAUUAGUUAGUUGGUAGGGUAAUGGCCUACCAAGACGAUGAUGUAUAGCGGGGUUGAGAAGCUGAUCCGCCACACUGGGACUGAGAUACGGCCCAGACUCCUACGGGAGGCAGCAGUAGGGAAUUUUCCACAAUGAGCGAAAGCUUGAUGGAGCGACACAGCGUGCAGGAAGACGCCCUUCGGGGUGUAAACUGCUGUUAUAAGGGAAGAAAAACUAGACUAGGAAAU